UCUGAGUUUACCUAAACCUGCCUUUUCGUA
rnacentral:piRNA from 1 species